rnacentral:rRNA from 1 species
UACGGAAGGCAGCAGUGGGGAAUAUUGCACAAUGGGCGCAAGCCUGAUGCAGCCAUGCCGCGUGUAUGAAGAAGGCCUUCGGGUUGUAAAGUACUUUCAGUCGUGAAGGAAGGUGUUAAGGUUAAUAACCUUAGCAAUUAGACGUUAGCGACAGAAGAAGCACCGGCUAACUCCGUGCCAGCAGCCGCGGUAAUACGGAGGGUGCGAGCGUUAAUCGGAAUUACUGGGCGUAAAGGGCACGCAGGCGGUUAAUUAAGUUGGAUGUGAAAUCCCCGGGCUUAACCUGGGAAUGGCAUUCAAGACUGGUUAGCUAGAGUCUUGUAGAGGGGGUAGAAUUCCAUGUGUAGCGGUGAAAUGCGUAGAGAUGUGGAGGAAAUACCGGUGGGCGAAAGGCGGCCCCUGGGACAAAGACUGACGCUCAUGGUGCGAAAGCGUGGGGAGCAAACAGGGAUUAGAUACC